rnacentral:lncRNA from 1 species
UUUGUCAAGUGGUGUUAAAAAUGGGACAUAUGUAUAAUUUAACCUUUAAUCAAACUAAAUUACAAUUCUUGAAAAAUAUAAAAACUGAAUGAAUGGUUAGUUUUCUACAUUUGAAUCUCAGAGCUAAACAUUAAAUAUAUAUUACAAUAAAGAAUAAGAUGACUAUAUAGUACUUUACUUGUAAGGUUGUAGCAGAAGUCAAUAAUUAGGAAAAGUCUGCAAACUUGUAUAUAGUAAGAGAGAUAUAAGGACCUGAUUUUUAGCUCAUCUGGCCAAAUUUCACCUUACUAUAGCCACAAUCAUUAUUUGGGUAUCUAGUUUAAAAAAUAUAAGUCCAAUGACCCCGCCCACCAACCAAGAUGGCUGUCAUGGCUUAACAUAGAACCUAGGGGCAAAAUGCAGUUUUUGGCUUAUAUCUCAGAAACCAAAGCAUUUAGAAAAAAUCUUACAGGGGGGGGGGGGUAUGUUGAUCAGGUCAAGAUCUAUCUGCUAUGAAAUUGUCAGAAGAAUCAGACAACCCAUUCUUGUGUUGCUGUCCCUGAAUUGGGAAUUUUAAGGAAAUUUUGCAGUGUUUGGUUAUUAUCUUGAAUAUAAUAAUAGAUGUAGAGAUAAACUGUAAACAGCAAUUAUGUUCAGCAAAGGAAGACCUCACAAUAUGUCAACAUGACCAAAAUUGUCAAUUGACCCCUGAAAGAGUAAUUGCCCUUUAUAGUCAAUUUUUUAACAAUUUUUUCGUAAAUUUUUGUUAACUUUUCCAAAAAUCUUUCUUCUCUGAAACUACAGAGACAAAUUCAACCAAACUUGGCCACAGUCACAUGGUCUAACUAGCAUGAUGGCUGUUAAAGGAAUAUCAGUAAAUAGUUAUAUAAAAGUAAUUCUACUUGUCAUCUGGGGUAAAAUUAAAAUUUAUUUAUUUUAUAAAAAGAUAAAAGUUCUUACUUUGAUUCUUUAAGUUAAAUACAGAUCCCUUGUAUAUGGCAAAAUGAUGGGUCAGAGUCUGUUUAAGCAGGAUGCAGUGAUUUUCCAGCCUAUAACAAAGCUUGCAUACUUUUCCUUUAUAAUUGAUUUCCCGGUGUUAUUAUUUAAAAUGUAUGUAUUUAGCAAUAUAAUUGGAGCAGUUUAAUAUUUAUGUAUUUACAAUUUUCAUCAAAUGGACAACUUUCUUUUCUUUCACAAAGAGUUGCCAAUAUUUGCACAUGUUUCAAAAUGACUUGUCUUAGAUAUUUUUCCCAAACUUUGUGACAAAGAAAAAACACUAGAACAUUUGGGCAAUUGUAAGACAAACAAAGUCAUACAAAUUCAUUGGUUUUCAACAAAACUUUGAUCCAGUUGAUCUUUUUACUAAUAACAUCUUAAUUAUCUCUCAAUUUGUUAAGAUACAGUAAAUUGUAAUACAUUGUUAUCAUUUGGUAAUAAUUGUAAUACAUUGUAAUCAUUUGGUAAUAAUUGUAAUACAUUGUAAUCAUUUGGUAAUAGGCAUUUAUAGUUUUGUAUUAUAUUAAGAUCUAGGACUAAAAAUAUUUUAAAAUUUAUAAGGUUUAAUUUAAAAUGAUGUAUGGUAUUUUAAAAUGCAUAUAACACCAUAUGACCAUUGGUUCAUUGCUUGAAAAACAACAUGUGCCCACUGAUCUAUGCAAAAUUCAUGUUUCAUAUUCUGAUCAUUUGUACCAAUAUUUCAUCUAUCUGAUUUUUUUCUCAUACUUUAUGUACAUGUAUCUACAGGUACUUGGAAAUAAAAAUAAAUCAAACCUAGCUUUGUUUUUAUUUUUGAAUAACUGUUCUAUUUAGUUCUGACCAAGUACAUUCACCAGCUGAAGAUUUUGAAAUAGUUACUCUACAUUUCUAUAAAUGAAUUAUUUUUCAGUAGUAGUUCAAAAUAGUAUCAACAAAAGUACUCAAAGGUUAAUUGCAAAAGGAAAGUGGGAAGUCCAAAAACCUGACAAAAUCAAACACUCGAUUAU